UACGGGGGGGGCAAGCGUUGUUCGGAAUUACUGGGCGUAAAGGGCUCGUAGGCGGCCAACUAAGUCCGACGUGAAAUCCCCAGGCUUAACCUGGGAACUGCGUCGGAUACUGGAUGGCUUGAAUCCGGGAGAGGGAUGCAGAAUUCCAGGUGUAGCGGUGAAAUGCGUAGAUAUCUGGAGGAAUACCGGUGGCGAAGGCGGCAUCCUGGACCGGCAUUGACGCUGAGGAGCGAAAGCCAGGGGAGCAAACGGG
rnacentral:rRNA from 1 species